rnacentral:rRNA from 1 species
AGAGUUUGAUCAUGGCUCAGGAUGAACGCUGGCGGCGUGCCUAAUACAUGCAAGUCGAACGCGAAAGGCUUGAAGCCUUCGGGCGGAGGGCCGAGUAGAGUGGCGAACGGGUGAGGAACACGUAGGUGACCUGCCCCGGAGAGGGGGAUAACCGUCGGAAACGGCGGCUAAUACCCCAUAAGCUCACGCGAGUUAGAGGGCGUGUGAGAAAAGCUCCGGCGCUCCGGGAGGGGCCUGCGGCCCAUCAGCUAGUUGGUAGGGUAAAGGCCUACCAAGGCGAAGAUGGUUAGGGGUUUUGAGAGAGAGAUCCCCCACAUUGGAACUGAGAUACGGUCCAGACUCCUACGGGAGGCAGCAGUAGGGAAUAUUGGGCAAUGGGCGAAAGCCUGACCCAGCCAUGCCGCGUGAAGGAAGACGGCCUUAUGGGUUGUAAACUUCUUUACUAUACGAAUAGAGGUUAGUACGAGUUACUAAUAGGAAGGUAGUAUAGCAAAAAGCACCGGCUAACUCCGUGCCAGCAGCCGCGGUAAU